rnacentral:rRNA from 1 species
GACGAACGCUGGCGGCGUGCCUAAUACAUGCAAGUCGACCUUAGUGGCUAACGGGUGAGUAACACGUGGGUCACCUGCCCAUCAGCAGGGGAUAACACUUGGAAACAGGUACUCUUACCGUAUACUGAUGGAUCGAACCUCGGUGCAUUAGCGAGUUGGUGAGGUAACGGCUCACCAGGGCAACGAUGCAUAGCCGACCUGAGAGGGUGAUCGGCCACAUGGGGACUGAGACACGGCCAAAACUCCUACGGGAGCCAGCAGUAGGGAAUCUUCGGCAAUGGACGAAAGUCUGAGCGAGCACCGCCGCGUGAGUGAAGAAGGUUUUCGGAUCGUAAAACUCGGUUGUUAGAGAAGCGGUAUCUAACCAGAAAGCCACGGCUAACUACGUGCCAGCCGCCGCGGUAAUAC